AUGAUUUUCCUUUGUGCUGUUUCCUGUUGAGAUGACUAAGCCUGGGUCUUUCCUCCAUAGAGGUGACUUUGAAUGCAGUAACCAUUAUCAAAGCUCCAGACCAAUCAACACCUGGAGCCACCAGACUAUCAACAUAUUACCCUUCAUCUCCAGCAACACUCAUCAGCUCUGUGGCUUUUCACACAGGGACUAUUGGGAAUGUGGAGACUUUUAA
rnacentral:lncRNA from 1 species